UUUGGUGCUCUUGACUUUGUAGAACCACUUAAUACAUAUCGAACUUACAAGUUAAAUGCAAAGUGAGAAAAUCGUUACUUAGAAAGACAUUUCUUGGAAAAAUUUUCUUAGUGCCAAAA
rnacentral:rRNA from 1 species